rnacentral:rRNA from 1 species
AUUGAACGCUGGCGGCAGGCCUAACACAUGCAAGUCGAACGAGUGGCGGACGGGUUAGUUAUGUCUGGGAAACUGCCUGAUGGAGGGGGAUAACUACUGGACACGGUAGCUAAUUCCGCCUACCUUCAGCUGUGCCCAGAUGGGAUUAGCUUGUGGGGGGGGUAACGGCUCACCAAGGCGACGAUCCCUACCUGGUCUGAGAGGAUGACCAGCCACACUGGAACUGAGACACGGUCCAGACUCCUACGGGAGGCAGCAGUGGGGAAUAUUGCACAAUGGGCGAAAGCCUGAUGCAGCCAUGCCGCGUGUAUGAAGAAGGCCUUCGGGUUGUAAAGUACUUUAAGCGGGGAGGCGUUACCAGCAGAAGAAGCACCGGCUAACUCCGUGCCAGCCGCCGCGGUAAUUC